CCGAGUUUACAACUCCCAACCCCCUGUGAACAUACCUUUAUGUUGCCUCGGCGGAUCAGCCCGCGCCCCGUAAAACGGGACGGCCCGCCGCAGGAAACCCUAAACUCUGUUUUUAGUGGAACUUCUGAGUAUAAAAAACAAAUAAAUCA
rnacentral:misc_RNA from 1 species